rnacentral:ncRNA from 2 species
ACAGUACAAACUGAUCAGGCCAAUAAAUUUUUAUUUAUGGGAGCCGGGCCUUAAUUUAGGCAACAGGAUAUUAUAUACCUGUGGGACAGUA